rnacentral:ncRNA from 1 species
UAAUUUUGCGCCGUCGAAUCUAAAAAGUUUGGAGCGACUACAUAAAAAUCAUUUAAAUAAUAUUGGCAUG